ACGCCUCUAAAAUUAUGGCUGAAGAAGAAGGAAGUGAAACUCGAAACUGCCGUACCCACCAUAAUUCUUCUGAUACUGAGUAUGUUCCCCUCCAGAGGGCAGCAAUUUGGGCUGUGUUCAGCUGGGCCGUUCUUCUAGUCUUAGGCUCAUUCAUGCAUCUGUGGCCUGCAGCCGGUUGCCUGAAAACUGGUCCCACCAGUCUCUGCUCUACCUGGCCUCUCAUUCCCCAGAAAACAAGGCUGGCUUUGUUCAUAGAGUGUCCCCCAAGGUUCUGAGAGCAAGAGUGAAUCCUGAGCUGAUACCUGGUGUGCUACUUCUGCCACAUUCUGUUGGCCAAAGUAAGUCACAAAGCUAGCUCCGAUUCAAGAGGAGAGCAAAUAGACUCUUCAUAUCUUGUAUCUCUUGAUAUAAGGAACUGCCAGGUCACACGGCAAAGAGGUGUGAAUUCAGGAGAGGAAAUAAUUGUGGCCAUUUUUGCAUAUAAUCUGACACAAAGAUACUAUAUUCUAAAAUGUUAGCAGUGCAUAUUUGAGAUAUGAAAUUACAGGUGAUUUUUAUUUUAUUAUUUAAAUGUUUCUGUGCUAGCAAAAUUUUUAUAAUAAGCAUGUAUUACUUUUAUUGCCAAAAUCAAGUUAUUUCUAUCUUAAAAUUUUAUUAAGAGGUUUUUUUUGGGGGGUGGGGGGAUUGUUUGUUUGUUUGUUUGAGCCAGAGUCUGGCCCUUUUGCCCGGGCUGGAGUACAGUGGCACAAUCUUAGCUCACUGCAACAUUCACCUCCCAAGUUCAAGUGAUUCUCCUGUCUCAGUCUCCUGAGUAGCCAGGACUACAGGUGCAUGCCACCACACCCAGCUAAUUUUUGUAGUUUUAGUAGAGAUGGGGGUUUCCCCAUGUUGGCCAGGCUGGUCUUGAACUCCUACCUCAGGUGGUCUGCCCGCCUCGGCCUCCCACAGUGCUGGGAUUACAGGCAUAAGCCACUGCACCCAGCCUAAGAGUUUUUAAUGGCAUUGCAAAAUUAUCACAAUAUACUCUUAAGUUUAAAAGCAUGAUAAAAAAAAUCAUGAAGUAUAUACAUAAUAUAUCCUAAAACAUUAAAAUAUACAGAGAAAGGUCUAGAAAGAAUUAUAAAAAUGUUAACAAUGGUACUGUUUGGAUGUAGGGUUAUGAGUAUUUUUAUAUUUUAAUAAACUUUCUAAAUUUUCUGCAAUUAAAAGGAAUUAAUAAUUAGAAAAAAGCAAAAAAGCAAAAAAUAAAGUUUUUUAAAAGGGACAUUUAAAGAAGGCUGGGCAUUAAUGUUCAGAAGACAUCCUGGAAACAAAAAUAAUAUGCCACACACCGAGAAUGAUUAACUCAUUUCUCUGCACCUACAGCCUAAUGAUAGGAAGAUAUUUUUUGCUGAAAAACAAUGAUGAGCUUGUUUGUCUACUUAUACAGAAGUAUUCAGAAAAUGUCACUAAUGUGGAUUUGAAGAAAAUUACAGUGUAAAUCCACAUUCUCCAACACAAUAGAAACUCGCUAUUUUAUAGUUGUUGGCACUGCCCAGUUAAUAAUAUAGCUUCUGCUAUAUUGGUUUAUUACAUCCGUUUCUAACUGAUUGGUACUCCAGGCGCAGGAGUGAUUGAUUGACACCAUUAACCUCUAACAGAGUGAUCUCAGAGAAAGGCAGACUAGGGUAGGGCAAGAAAGACAUCUAGGGCACAAAAUUUAAGGAGGCACUCCUUUUUAAGGCCAACUCUAUACUUGCAUGACCCUGGGAGUGAAUGUUCCCUUAAAUUUUGCUUCCUAGGUAUCUCUCUCUCCUCACUCUGAUCCCAACCAUGUCUUAGAGAACUGGUCUUACCUUUCUUAACCAGAACAGAAGUACUCUCCAAUUGUGUUUUUCAUGCUACGGUACUGACAGUGUCUUAGCUGAGGCUCCCAAAAAAAAGAGCCUGAAGCAGAGGCCUUAUGCAUGGGUACCUUACCAGGAAAUGCAAUUCCAAAGAGCAGGAGUAAAGCUCCAGGGCAGAGAAGCAGAGAAGGAGAAAGGACCAAUACCAAGAUGAUGUAUCAAGCUGACCACCAAUAAACACAACUGAUUUCCCAAGCCAUAAGAUUGUACCCCUGCGAAACCACAUACACACCAUCUCAGCAUCAUCUUGGGGAAGGAAAGGAAACAAAGGAAGAAUUUAUCCAUUGACUCCCAUCUUUCAUUGGUCAAAAUUUCUCCCUCAGGAGCAUCAACUCCCCCACACUGCCAGGUCACACUUGAGCAGUAUCACUCUCAGAUCCAGACAAGAAGGACCGCUGCCCGGGGCUUCAUGCUUCGGUUGUAGAUCACAAACCCUGCCUCUCAUCAGUAUACAUACAGAGAAAAAUCAAAGAGCAUGUCUCACUUGGAAUCCUGCCAUCAGCACUGGCAUGGCACAACCUCUAACCCUAAACACCUGCUCCUAUGAGUAACACUCUUCUGGUCCCAGGGGAAUACAUCUUCUCAUGGCUCUUCCAUCCUCCAAACAAAAGCCAGCUGUGUCAAAAUACCAAGAAGAUUUGUAGAGUGUUCCACCACUGACAUUGGAGGCCAGUGCCUUUUAGGAGUUCAGGACAGAUUUGAGCAGCAGAUCUGCUUAGGUAACAAAAAAGACUGAUUUGUUAGUUUGUCAAAUCCUUCUCAGAGAGCAUGAAAGCAACAAAUUUUCCAUAGUGAAGCAUGUCCCAAUAGCACCAAGCAUUCUUAUUUUUUUGGUGUGUUCCAAUUAAUGGUUCUGGAGUAACUGACGAAUUAAUGCUGUAUUCACAAUUGCAUAUGGUGGCAGAGGCACAUUUUGUAACACCGAAUAAAUCGUUUUACUCUUAAAUGUGUAUUAUCCCUCAGAUCUGAAUCCACCUAUAUUUUUUUUUGUGAGGCGUUACUGAAGCUCUGCAAACUACAUUUUUACUUUCUGCCAAUAGGGCAUGCUAGAGGGAGACUGCAAGGCCAGAGAAGGGAGGGGCUGGCUCCUCCCCCUGUUUACUGGAUGUUCCUGUUGGCAACAGCCCCACAAUAGCCCUUCAACAUGGCUGGAACUGCCACUGCUUGUCCAGUGUCCAGCUAUUUUGCGCAGUCCCAGAACCAGCCUCAUGACACCCCUUUGGAGACAUCAGCACUACCCAGGCAACGCCUCCUGUUCAAAAUCCGUGCCCCAGUUCUGCAGGGUUCUGAGCUUCUAGUUUCUUCUUUCUGCAGAUGAUGGCUUCUGCAGAUACUAUGUGCAUGUACCUUCAUGUCACCUUUUCAUUUUUUUAGUCCUCUGAUACCUGUUCAACCAAUCCCUUAAUUUUUGCUGUGAAAACAACUAGUGUGGCUUCUGUUUUCCUAACUGCCCCGAUCAACACUGUGGAUCUAAAUGUGGGAAGCAAGCAACAUGACAAUUCUUUACAGUGCAACUACGUGGACAGAGUGCACUGGGAUUGUGAAUGGCUUUAUUUUCCAAACUUAUUUCAUAUAAGAGCUAAUUAAACUGUUAACGAAUUGAAUAAACUUCCAUUUUAUUAAGAUA